rnacentral:rRNA from 1 species
CCUACGGGAGGCAGCAGUAGGGAAUCUUCCACAAUGGGCGAAAGCCUGAUGGAGCAACGCCGCGUGGGUGAAGAAGGUCUUCGGAUCGUAAAACCCUGUUGUUAGAGAAGAAAGUGCGUGAGAGUAACUGUUCACGUUUCGACGGUAUCUAACCAGAAAGCCACGGCUAACUACGUGUCAGCAGCCGCGGUAAUACGUAGGUGGCAAGCGUUAUCCGGAUUGAUUGGGCGUAAAGGGAACGCAGGCGGUCUUUUAAGUCUGAUGUGAAAGCCUUCGGCUUAACCGGAGUAGUGCAUUGGAAACUGGGAGACUUGAGUGCAGAAGAGGAGAGUGGAACUCCAUGUGUAGCGGUGAAAUGCGUAGAUAUAUGGAAGAACACCAGUGGCGAAAGCGGCUCUCUGGUCUGUAACUGACGCUGAGGUUCGAAAGCGUGGGUAGCAAACAGGAUUAGAUACCCCAGUAGUC